GACUCGUCAAAAGCGGACGGUCAAUAUCUUGCCAUCGUGGAUCAUCAGAGUGACCGUCCUGACGAAGGCCUCAAUUUUGUUGUCAAUAAAGCUUUGGUGGGGAUUUUUGCUUGCACUCGUCCCAUUGUCGGCCCUCAUAACCAUCCGAAGCAUUGGAGUUAUGAAGUGCCAAAGAAUCGAGAAGGCUCUUCAACAGAUUAGGUGUUAGACUCACCCCUGCACCAUUGACUCUGCAGGCACAAAUCCCGUACCACACUCGGCCAGAGAAUUCUCGCUGGAGAAUCAUCAUGGGGCUUCAACCUAAGACUGACUGGUGAAUUUAAUUUCAUUCCCCAAUUACUGCGAAUGGCUGGAGUGCGUCCUCAUUAGAUGUGAAAACCAGCUACAAGAUACCGAUCUUCGGCACGCCAUCACCUGCUCUUUAUAUACGUACGACCGUCACAUUGAUGUGUUUCAGGCAUUUUGCGAAGCAUGGCGUCCCGAUACCAACACACUGGAGACUUCACAAGGCUCUAUCUCGAUAUCCCUUUUUGACAUUGAGAAGCUUGGGAAACUUCCAUUGAUUGGGGAGCUGUACAAGGAGAUGAUACCUUCAUAUCGUGAGCUUACUGGUUCGGACAAAAAGGGAAGAUUCUUGCCAGUACCUGUUUGCUGCCUUCUACACACUUUACAGGCAGAAUAAUAAGAGCAGACAGAUCUCUGAUGCAAAAUGGAUAAAUUUUUGGUACUUAUAAACCCAAGGAGGAACUUCCAGAGUUGGAUAAAUGGUCUUCCAAAGAAGAGGCUGUUUUUCGUGAGUUAAGCAUGAAGGAGUCCAUCAUAGCAAAAUGGAUAAGUUUUUGGUUUCGAGGUAGGACGUGCUACCAGAAACCUCCUGCUAGGCGAAUGAGGAAAUUGCGCCCGUAGGACACUUAUAACCCCAAGGGGGAACUUCCAGAGUUUGAUAAAUGGUCUUCCAAAGAAGAUGUUGUUUUUUCGUGAGUUGACCGUGAAGGAGUCCGUCAUAGCAAAAUGGAUAAAUUUUUGGUUUCGAGGUAGGAUGCGUUACCAGAAACCUCCUUCUGGGCAAACGAGGAAAUUCCGCCGUAGGACACUUUUAACCCCAAGGGGGAACUUCCAGAGUUGGAUAAAUGGUCUUCCGAAGAAGAGGUUGUUAAUCGUGAGCUUACUGGUUCGGACAAAAAGGGAAGGUUCUUGCUAGUACCAGUUUGCUGCCUUCUACACACUUUACAGGCAGAAUAGUAAGAGCAGACAGAUCUCCGCUGAAAAAUGGAUAAAUUUUUGGUUUCAGGUUGUUUUCCUUGAACCGUCUGAGGCACGAGCUGCUUUUGAAGGGCUGGCAUACAAACGAUACAAGGAUGGUCCGUUGUACUUGGAAUGGGCUCUUGGCAAUAUUCUGAAUCCAGUCCCAUCAGAUGGCAAUCAAAAUAAUGGUCCUGUGGUAGGUGACCAUGAUGCUAACAGAGUCCUAUUGAAGCAACAUGCAGGACUGUCAGAUGCGGAUAUUGAUCCUGACAGAAUCGAGAUAAAGCAGCACAUGAAAAAUGGCAAGCUUGUCUCGAUGGGAUUCGGGUUUAUAGAGUUUGAUUCUGUGGAGACUGCUACAAACAUUUGUCAGGAUUUACAGAUGGUCAUGCCCUUGCAUUGCAACACUCUCUAGUGAAGAAGGAGGAAGAAGUUUCAAACAAGGCAGAGAAGGAUAAGAGUUCAACCAAAUUGCUCGUAAGAAAUGUUGCUUUUGAGGGUACCGAGAAAGAUCUUAGAAAGCUGUUUAGUCCCUUUGGGAAGAUCAAGAGCUUGAGACUCCCGAUGAAAUUUGGAAGUCACACCGAGGAUUUGCAUUCGAGGAAUUCGUCACAAAACAAGAGGCGAGGCGCAGAAUGCUCUCAAGGCCCUGUCCAACACUCACCUUUACAGCCGUCAUCUGGUUCUGGAGAGAGCAAAAGAAGGUGAGAGCUUAGAAGAGUUACGGGCUCGGGCAGCUGCUCAAUUCACUGACGACCAAAAUGGGCACCAAAAUCCAGCCAAGUUGUCGAGAAAGAGGAAACACAUGGCCGUUCUGGAUGAAGGCAGAGUGAAGUUCGAGAGAACACAGUUUUGCUUGUUCAAUGCCACUAAUGGAUUCGUAGACCGUUCACUUAUUCUUGUAGGAUGAUAAGUUUUUGCUAAAUGAUCCAUGCGGAUGACUCCUUCAGAGUUCGGGGGCUGA